rnacentral:rRNA from 1 species
UACAGAGGGUGCGAGCGUUGUCCGGAAUUACUGGGCGUAAAGGGCGCGUAGGUGGUGGCUUAAGCGUGCGGUGAAAGCUCGGGGCUCAACCCCGAGUCGGCCGUGCGAACUGGGCUCACUGGAGCAUAGUAGAGGCAGGUGGAAUUCCGGGUGUAGCGGUGGAAUGCGUAGAGAUCCGGAAGAACACCGGUGGCGAAGGCGGCCUGCUGGGCUAUGGCUGACACUGAGGCGCGACAGCGUGGGGAGCAAACAGG